CAUGUUAUUUACACUUCUUCUAACAGUAUAUGAGCAUCCCUUUCACUCUCACCAAUUCAGACUAUAAUCUUUGCUUUUGUUUUCUAAUAAUUCCAUCUCCCUUUGACUUCACUCAAGUUUCUACCUCCAUUACGUCACUCAGACUGCUUGGUACAUUACCAAAGACCAAAGACCAAAUCCAGUAAUGCCUGCCUUCCCCUAUACAGGCUGUGGCCAUCCCAAGCUGCACAUCAGGCUAUUUUUUUGGAUAUUGAUGAUACUGUUAAACUGAAUGUCAUGGCCCCUGUGCAAGGAUGACACACAAGUUCAUGAAGCAUUCCAUAUUUUAUAAAUUUUUGAAUUAAAAUUGUUAAAAAGAUAAA